GGAGCCAAACGACAACAAGAUUCUCAGAGGGCGGAGCCAGAGAGCAGUGAUUGGACAGACCAUAGUUUAUAUAGCAGACAGCGCGCUAGCGUAUCUAGUCUAUGUAUAUAUAUGGUUGGCACGUCUGGUAGCAUCUCUGGCUGCUGUUGAUCUUGUUUUUGGAGUAAAACACGGUGGAAGCUGAAUUAGUGAGGAUGACUCCUGCUCCUGUCAUCUCUAAGCUCCUCACACAUCUUUACCUGCACAUGAGGAAAAUCACUCCUGUAGAAUGCAGAUGUUCAGAGGGAGAUGAUGCCACAUCUGGUCCAGCUGAUGGAAGGUCUUGAAGUUCUCUGACUGGCCUCGACUGAAGAUGGUCGUCUCACUGGAUUUAAGCACAAUGAGGGACGUCUGCAGAGACUGAGAAAGAGUCUCGCCACAUCCUUACAUGAGGAAAAAGACUUUACUGAAGACUACAAUGAGGAAAACUAUCAGACAGCAGACAGCUGCAUUCAAGAGAAGAAAACCAUCAAGCAUCCAUGUCAGCUGAUGGAGGUCCAAGAGUCUCACCAAACAAACAACCUACAGAGUGAAGACCUCAAAUUUGAUUGGAUGGCCUCCUAUUCAGCCACAUGUGUGAACAAAUGCCUCUAAGCUGAUUUGUUUUCUGAAAUAAAUCUAGUUUGAGUCCUAGUCUAUGCCUGUGUGUUUGCUUCUUUACAUCGCUGUUAACAGUUUAGGCUGUUAGAUUGUUCCAGAUAAGACAAAUACAAGAUUCUUCAGAGCCGUUCUACCACGAGCCUGACAGGAAGAACUGCAACAGCUACUGAAUGUUCCUGUGGUCCCCUCAAGGCUACAGGAGGAGUCCUACGAGGACGAGCCGGUCCACCUGAUGGCGGCCAGUCGCUGCGGUUCAAAGCCAACACCGACUACGUGGACUUCUACUGGACCACACGGAGGUCUUCAAACCGGACCAACAAGUUCAGCGACUCCCCGACUCGUGGGUCUGAGGACGCCGCCGAGCCUCAGCCCAGCCGGCCUCCUGUCUGUGGGUGUUUGAGUGCUGAGAGGUUUGUGGAUGCAUGUGAACAUGUCUGUGUUGAAACAGCAGCUUUUGACUCAGUAACGCUGGGAAAAACCAAGAGCUCCUUUAUUUGUGACUUCCACUAAAAAAAACUGAUGAAAAUAAGUUUGCCAGGGUUCUGACUGAUAACAGGUUAUUAAAUAAUGAAAAUAAUCGUUUAAAUAUUACUUUAAACAAUCCUUUUAAGUCUACAUUUCCUUUACACUGACUUCUUGGUGUAUGUACAAGUAUUUUGGGUGGAAUAUACCAUUAAGCCCGAUGUUCAAGGGUUCUUCUGGGAAUAUACCAUUAAACCAACCUUUUAGGUAAAUGUUCCAGGAUGUUGAGUAGAAUAUACCAUCAGAUCAACCUUUUAGGUCUACAUUUGAAGAUUUUAGAGUAGAAUUUUACUCCAAACCAUCCUUUAGGUCUACAUUUAAGGUGGAAUACUCCUUUACACCAAGAUUUUUUUUGGUCUACAUUGAAAGAUUUUAGGUGAAAUAUUCCUUUGAAUGAACUUUUUAAGUUUAUGUUCAAGGAUGUUGGGUGGAAUAUACCAUCAGACCAACCUCCAAGGUCUACAGUAGUGAAUUUUAGGUGGAAUAUACCAUUAAACUCACCUUUUAGGUCUACAUUGGAGGAUUUUAGGUGGAAUUUUCUUCCAAACCGUCUUUUAGUCUACAUUUUAGGAUGUUUAGGAUGGUAUAUUCUUCCGAACCAACUUCUCAGGUCUACAUUUCAGGUGGAAUAUUCCUCCAUACUAACUUUUUUGGUCUACAUUGAAGGAUUUUUUCUAAACCGCCCUUUCAGGUCUAUAUUUGAGGUUUUAGGUGGAAUAUUCCUUUUAAGCAGCCCCCCAGGUCUCUUUGAGGAUUUUGGAUGGAAUACUCGGGUAAACCAACAUUUUAGGUGCAUGUCCAAGGAUUUGUGGUGGAAUGUUCCUUGAAGGUGGAUGUUUGAGGACCUUGUAGGUGGAAUACUUCCUGAAACCAACCUUUUAGGUCAACAUUCAAAGAUUUAAGGUGGAAUAUUCCUUUAAACCAACCUAAAUUUCAUGUUUUGAUCAUUAUCAAGUGAGAAACCUCAAUCCAGACUCCUCAUAAUGACGUUUGAGAUUUAUGCUGCUGUUAUUUGUUUAGUCCAGACUAAAUGACAGAAAUCCACAACUGUAAUUUUAUUUCAGGACUCUGUUAUUAAAUGUCAAAACAAUCCAUGUGACUCUAAAAACUCAACAGCUUUACAAACUCUAAGAUUAAACUCUCCACAAGGAUCCAAAAUAAAUUGGACUUCUACAUGAGAGCUUGAAUUAUUCUUCAUCUACUUCCUGAAAAGUUUGGUCAAUAAAAAAGACAAAAACUAAUAUUUUCAGCUGAACUAAAGACAGACUGUGAUUUCUCUGCUCACAUGUUGUGUUGUUGUAAACUUACUCUUUCAAAUAAAUACCUGCCUAACCCCCUGGAAACCAGCAUUUGUCCUGUUUUUGUGUUGCUCCUCGGCGACCCUAGACAGCCGAGUCGUAAUGUUUUUUGAGCAACACACCAUACUAUGACGUUUUUACAAUGAUGGUUCUACUAUGAAACCAGUUUGACAUGUUCAGGCGUUCUUUGUGUGAAAACUCAGAGAUUUCAGGUAUCAGAAGGCGGUUUUCAACUUUAACUUUCUGCCUCAACUUUAAACUAAAUUUCCUUCACUAACCCAGCCCUCUGGACUUCCAGUAAGCUGUGUUCCUAUUGGCUGUCCAGGUGGCUGCUUGGUGUUAUCAGGAACACCUGAGCAGCUCAGUGUCUUCCUGCUUUAUUUAGCUGCAGCCAAACAUUUCCUCUGCUUCUGUUCACCACUGAACUGGGUUUGUCCGUUGCUUCACUUUGUUCUUUAGGCGUUGGCUUGCAGCUUCCAGCAGUAAAAUUGUCUUUAAUGUGUUUCUUGGUGUGUUUUAGGGCUUUGUACUGGAUAGUUGUCUUGGUAAAUGUGGUUCUUUAGCCACAGUUAGCACAUGGUGCUAAUGUUUGCAGUGAUUAGUGGAUUUGGUGCAGCUGCGUUGUGUCUUUAUCUUGGCUGUAGUGAGUCUUUCGAGGUUUUUGGUCAGACACACUCUGUAUUCUUGUUUGAGAACCAGCGUUGGUUGUCCAGAAGGUAAGAGUUCCUGUCCUGAUUCUCUGUUCUCAGAGCUUCUCUGGUAGGCUGCAAGAGACUUUAGCGUUUGGGUUGUGCUAGUUUGGUUUUUGUAUGGUUUCAUUUGGACGACUAUCUUGAGGCCCCUCCAUGUGGUUUAGUGAGGUUUUCUGCAACAGUUCUACAAAGCAACCUGCAGCAGAAGAGACUUUGAGAGUUUUUAGGAAGUUCUGGAGACCAGACUUUAGAGCAGCAGAAACAUUUGUCAGCAGGUUGAGCAGGAGAAGGUGAGCUUCAGAGUAGAAGUGAGAAGGAAACCUUCUUGACCCGUGUGGUGAGGUCCUGUACCAAGAGUUUGAGCAGGUUGUGAAGAGUCUGUAGUUCUUUGGCCUGAAAGCACAAGAAGAGUCGACUCAUUAAAGGAGAAAACAGGAGAUAUUGUUGGUUCUUCUGUCGCUCUGCAGUUUCCUUAGACUGAAUAUCAAGUUUAUAUUUUAAAUGAUUUCCCAUGUGAGCCCAAGAAGACUUCAAUAAACUCCCUCCAUCCCCUGGACACAACAUAUUUUAUUACCAUG
ensembl:lncRNA